CAAGUCGAACGGGCUAGUGCUUCGCACUAGUCUCGUUUCUGGGGUUGCUACUCUAAGGCUACCUGCUAAAGUUAUUGCUUAAAGCAGGGUUUAGGGACCGUUCCCAAAAGGGGCCAGUGCGGAGCACUGGCCAGUGGCGAACGGGUGAGUAACACGUGGGUAAUCUGCCCUCGAGUGGGGAAUAAGCUCCCGAAAGGGGGUCUAAUACCGCAUGACGUUUCAUAACGAUGGUUAUGAAACCAAAGCCCAAAAGGCGCUUGAGGAGGAGCCUGCGUCCUAUCAGCUUGUUGGCAGGGUAAUGGCCUACCAAGGCUAUGACGGGUAGCCGGCCUGAGAGGGUGUCCGGCCACACUGGAACUGAGACACGGUCCAGACUCCUACGGGAGGCAGCAGUGGGGAAUUUUGCGCAAUGGGGGAAACCCUGACGCAGCGACGCCGCGUGGAGGAUGACGGCCUUCGGGUUGUAAACUCCUGUCAGAAGGGACGAAAUCCCGCAAGGGACUGACGGUACCUUCAGAGGAAGCCCCGGCUAACUACGUG
rnacentral:rRNA from 1 species